AGAGAGAGAGAGAGAGAGAGAGAGAGAGAGAGAGAGAGAGAGAGGGGGGGGGACCACACAACAACAACCUCGUACUGGGCUCAAGCUGUCUCUUGACUGAUGGACAACUCUACACAUCAACAGUUACUGUCUAAGCAUUGAGAGAAGGAGAGGAUAGGAAAGAGAGGAGCGCUAAAGAGAAGAGAGUCAAGGAGGCACACCUCGGUCCCCUCUCUGAGGAGAAGAAAAAAAAGGUUUUUAGUCACUGAUGGAAUAUCUUCUUCAGUGAUGCAGAUGGAGCAGCCUGUGCGGCAGGACAUGCAGUUCUACUACGUGGGGGACCAUACGUGGGCGACCAUGCUGGGCCAGAGUGUGCGUCUGCAGCCGGUGCCUAUCCAGAGCCUAUCUGAACUGGAGAGAGCUAGGCUGCAAGAGGUAGCCUGCUACCAUCUCGGGGAGCGGGACCUUGACUUCAACAUCAGCAUCCCCAAAGAAAUCCGUAAGAGGAGAAAAUCACUCAGAAGGAAGUUUGACUCCUUCUCCAAAGAAAAGAAAGAGAAAGAGCGAGAGACAGCCGCCAAGGCGUUUGGCAUACCUCUUUCGCAGACGAUAGCCAACGACCGGGCAUACAAGCAGCGUCAGGAUGCUCUAAAGGAGAGCCGGAGAGACUGCCUUGAUCUAGAGGCCAGCGUCCUGAGGUUUCGGGCUGAGAAACAACAGCAGAGCAACGGGAAUAAACCCCUCUGUAGCACGGCUUCAUCCUCCUUCAGUGGUGCUACAUCCUCCUCAUCAUCGGCAGCACUGGCGUUGCACAGCAAGCCACUCUCACCCAGGUUCCUGGAUAAGAAAGCUAGAGUGCAGAGACGGGGUGGCCUGUCAGUGGACUCCAUCUCAGAUCUUGUAGAGAGUCAGUCCCGCCUGUUGGAGGCGCUGCAGCUGUCCCACCCUGCAGAGCUGGAGCUGAAGAAGACUGCAGCAGGUGCCGGGGGGCGGACUCAGACCAAGUUGAGCCUCAACCCCAUCUAUAGACAGGUUCCCCGUGUGUUGGAGAGGUGCUGCUGCCACAUAGAGAGACACGGUCUACAAACUGUGGGGAUCUUUCGUGUUGGGAGUUCCAAAAAGAGAGUUCGGCAGCUCCGUGAGGACUUUGACAUAGGGACAGACGUGUGUUUGGAUGAGGAGCACAGUGUCCACGAUGUAGCGGCAUUACUGAAGGAGUUCCUCAGAGACAUGCCUGACCCUCUACUGCCAAGAGAGCUCUACGCUGCCUUCCUACACGCCAACCUUCUGCGAGGGACAGACCAGCUAAUGUACCUCCAGCAGCUGCUCUACCUGUUACCCCCCUGUAACUGUGAUACCCUGCUCCGCCUCCUCACCCUGUUACACACCGUACAAAGCCACGCACAGGACACCACAGGACCACAGCACCAGGAGUUCCCCGGCAACAAGAUGACAGCAACCAACCUGGCAGUGAUCUUUGGUCCCAACCUGCUGCAGGGGGGAGAGGGGCGGAGGGGACAGGGAGAUGAGUCCCCACGCCAUGGGCAUUGAGGACAGCGCUGCCAUCAUCAACGUCACCCUUCACCUUAUACAGAACUACAGGCGACUGUUCACGGUGUCAGCAGAGCUCCAGCAGGAGGUAUUGAUGAGUCUCAUCCAGACAGAUCCUGACAUCAUCGACUAUCUCCUCCGCAGGAAACUCAGUGGCAGUCACCUGACGGUGGAGACGGUAGACACAGCGGGGGGUCGGCGGGACACGGGGGCAUCUCUGGACUCUGUAGGGGCGUCUAGUGGCAGCCUGUCACCCCUGGAGCCCUCGCCCCUCUUCAACCCCGACGAGCCUGGGGACAGCAGGCUGACCACAGAGGUGUUCCUUAACCUCAACGUCCUCCAACGCCACCAUAACAACAAGAAACGUUCCAACGAGACCCCGUCCAAGUCCAUUGGUCAGAUGAGACAGUUCCAUUCCCACCACAACCUACUGAGUCUGGCCCAGCCCUCCAGUAGCUCCAGAGUCCACCCAGAGGACAGCCAACACCAUGCCCAGGAACGGAGGAUUCCGCUGGGCGAAGGUCUGAGCUUCACCCUGGGGGCUGCCUCAUGCUCCAGCCUGGGAGGACAGGGGGGAAAACAGUAUCUGGGUGAGGCAGACACCCCAGGAGGAGAAAGAGAAAGCCUCUCCUAGUCAUACAAGUCAUUUUUGGGACUUCUUCACAGGCAAGGGCUCAGGGUCUGAGACCAUGGUAUGACAGGAUAGAACACUGGGGGGGGGGGGGGGGUUGCAGGGUGGAUUGGGACUAGAACCAUGCCUUUGUCUGGUCUGCCCUAUUGUCAUUUCUGGGUGGCUGGGAGGUGGUUGGACCACGUUGAGGGACACUGAUAUAGAGUAGUGUUUAUACGUAUUCAUACGAGCGCAAACGUAGACCGCACACACACAUUGUUGUAAUGUGUGAAUUAAUAUCUUUUACUAUAGAGCCCAUCCCCUUCCCCUCUAUCCCUCAACUUAUCCAUGAUCUCUCGUGAUGCUACACUAAGCUCCAUCCAAACAGCCAGAAAAAAAAACCCAUCUGUGGCUGUAUCCUUUAUGAUCAUCUAUAUUCUGAACCCUCUGUUGGGUAACUGAACACUUAACAUUUGAUACGGCUGAAGACCAAGGAGACGAUGGGCAACACUCUGUAAAUACAUCAGUGUUUUAAACCGUGAAGACUAUGGGCUCGAUUCGUAAAGUUCUGCGAUGGAGCCUGAUUGACAUUUUAAAGACAACGUUCCCACGCUGAGACUGCAUUCACGUUAACCGCUGCGUAGGUCGGCUCAAUCGGGAAAUUAAUUCAAUCCCAAGUGCUUUCUCGAAUCUCAUAUAUUGGGUUUGAAACAUUGGUUGCCAUGACAAGGUGACAUUUUUCCAUAUGUACAGAAAAGUAUAUAAAUCGUUCAAUGCGUUUGCUUCAUCUUCUGGUAAAAUGUCAACCCACACAUAAUUUCUGUCUGGAACUUAUCACGCUUCACAGGACCAUAGUAAUUAACUACCGGGGACAAUGUGGCCAUAGAAAGCCCAUGUAUUCAAUAACUAAAGAACUACCUGAGAAUUCAAUUGGGCUUGAGGAUUGCGACAACUUCUUAUAGUAAACCUGUCCCUACCAUGUAAAUGCAGUAUUGUCUGUUUUUUUGUAUGUAUAAAAAACAAAAUGUAGGCUUGUGUGCAUGAAGUCUCUGUAUUUGUUCUGGACCUUAUUGAAUUGCAGUAUUGAUAUCCAACAAAAGACUUGUUCCAUGAGGUGCUUGCUAUCCUGUAAAUAUUAAUCUCACUCUUGUACCAUUAGACAGUACGUGUCAUUUUUUUGGGGGGGGGGGGGAAUACUUUUCUAUACUUUGUAAACACACAAGCAAUAUCCCCUCAAGGUGUAGCUAGAUUUCAAACUGUCCAUUUUCUUACAGGUGUUUCUUGCAUCUAUGUACAAGAUUUGAAUUAAAAUGUACAAUUGUU